rnacentral:rRNA from 1 species
UACGUAGGGUGCAAGCAUUAAUCGGAUUUAUUGGGCGUAAAGGGCGCGCAGGCGGGGAUGCAAGUCAGAUGUGAAAUCCCGGGGCUCAACCCCGGAACAGCAUUUGAAACUACAUCUCUAGAGGGUAGACGGAGAGAACGGAAUUCCACAAGUAGCGGUGAAAUGCGUAGAUAUGUGGAAGAACACCAGUGGCGAAGGCGGUUCUCUAGUUUAUACCUGACGCGUGAGGCGCA